AGUUUCUGGGUGGGAUCAGAAGAAUGAAGAAGGGUUAGAGGAUUGUGAAACUCUCCAGGUGAGGAGGCCUGGGAGACACCCUGCUCAAGCAGGGGACUGACAGAGAGAACCCAAAUGCUUUAACCCUAGUGUAAUGGAUGAAGGUGAUGGGACUGAGUGGGAAGCAGCAACUAUAAGGAAAGCAGCAUGAGACUGCUGUUUAUAGGGUCCCUGGGUUGGGACCUGGAAUAGUCAGUGGCUCCAGGUCAUCUCACUAUCAGUGAAGAAGUGGCCUAAGUCCUGAAGAGUAGACAGGACUGUUUGCUAGAAGCCAAAGAUAAGGGGUUAGAUUUAAAGAGGACCAAGAGGGGCUGAAGAAAGAAGGCACCCUCAGGAAGGAGGGCCUAAAUCCAGCUUGAGCCAGUGAAUUUGGGAGACUUUUGCUUGUGUUUAUUUUGGACUUGUGUACCCUGGAAGGGGUUCACCAUUUUAGACUGUGUGACUGAGCUGGAGGGCUGAGCCACUGAAGACUUGCCCAGCAAGGGCAACAGUGGCACUAGGAGCAGAGAAAAAGAAUUCAGGUUUGCAGCCAGCCAACAGUAGGUGCUCACAAGAGGUUGCAGAAGAGGGCCAGAACCUGCCGUCCCCAUGAGAAGAACACAGGGAAGAAGGACUUUUGCUAUCAAGGUUUUGUGUCUGAGGAUGAGGCAAAUCCUCCCUCCAGUCUGAGAAAUUGGGGUAUAUACUGGAAAUCUCUUGUGGGAGGGGGGGGAGCCUCUUCAGGAUGUCAAUGUCAGUCCCAAGGCAGAAAAAGCCCCAUAGCCGCAAUGUACCUUCC